AAAGGGAGACCGGGGAGACUUGGUUCGUACUGGUUUGGGCAUCGUGGUGGGAGGGCAGGGGAGGGACGCCUCGUCCCCAUGUCCCCUGCCUCUUAAAUAGACACCGGCGUGCCGAGUGUCCCCCCAUCCGUGGCUCAGAGAGAGAGAGAGAGCAGGGGGGUGGGGGGCAAAGGGGGUAACACGGAUCAACGUCAUAGCUAGGGGGGUAGGGGGGGCAGCCCAGAAGCAAUAACAACUCGUGGGCUCGCUUGGAGACCAGAAGACGAGAGACGCGGAGGGUGAGGGGCACGCUGUGAUCCAAGCCCUGCUGCCUCACCUGCGCCUGCGAUGGUGAAGCGGUUCAGCCGUUUGACCCCCGGCUACUUUCGCCUGCUGCAGCUGCAGACCCAGUCGGCACAGGAGCUGGCGUGCGGGCACGCUGAAACCCGCACCAACCGCGCCGCCUUGAUGCUCAGCCUCCUGGGCCUGGCGCUCAGCUCCUACAGCCUCAAGCGCAUGCGAGCGCUGCAGCUCACGAGCGAAGAGUAAUGGCUUGCCCGCUCGCCCACUCGCUCGCUCGCUCGCACGCACGGUACCGUCUCUCCUCCUGGAGAUCGACCCUUGUGUCAAUGACUACUUGACUGCGACGACAGCGACGCUGUUGUCGCCGCUGUAACAAUUCUCCAAUCAACCCCAAACCCCCCCCCACCCUCCCCGGAUCCUGUUCCGGGGAGGGUGGGGGGGGGGCGGGUGGGAGGUGGCAGGUAUCAUAUUUUCUGUAGCUCAGCCCCAAACGGCUCCGGGUGAAAUUAAGCCCUGAUUUAAUUAAUGCAAUUUCUAUUUUUGUAUCCCCACCCUACCCCCCCGCUCAAAUUAGCAUUGGGCAGGGCUCAUCUCUGUUAGGAUACUUAAGUCACUGGUGUGGAAAUUCCACAUUGACUUGUCUCCCCAUAGGAUGACCAUAGUUGAACUAUCAUAGAUCCAUAAAGAAAACACGUUGCCUAUUACUGCAACAUUAAUUACCAGCGAGGCUUCUGUGGAUGUCGAUGCACUGUGUUGAGGCUUGCAAGGCAGUGUGGGGUUUUUUUUUUGCCAAAAUUCUAUGCAGCUUAGACACUUACCUUUUUUUUUAUGCCAGCAAUGCAAAUCAUAUUCCUUAGAAAUGGAAUGAUUAGACAUGUUAAUUAUGUUCUGUAAAAUGUUAGAAAAUGAAAAUUAUCCACAAUGCUUAAGCAAUUCAGGUUGCAUGCAGCCUUCAAUAUAAAUCAAAUGUAAAUGAUACGAUAGCCACAGCAACAAUUCUGCAUUUAGACAAUAAACAUCCACAUAUUGCAUUGGCACUUUAUUGGGCUUCCUCAAUGUAGCAGAGGGGACUCAAAUUCACAUCUUGACGAAACAGCUGGAAAACAAAUUACUCCAUCUUUUCUGAAAUAUACAUUGAAUAAAAAACACAUUGUCUAACAUGUAGAUCAAGCUCUGUGUGUGUGUGUGUGCAAGAACAUAUAUGCACACACAAAGCAUUCUGGUUGCUGUGUUUGUUUAAGAUUGGGUGUGCAGUUUUUAUUUGUAUGUAGAGUUUUAUUUCCGGUUUUUUUCUGGCUGUCUCUGUGAUUUUGUGAACAAGAAAUGAUUAACUCUCACCUGAUUAAAUAAAGGGCAUUUAAUGCCAUUGAACUUGUACGAGACAUCGUAAUGCAACACUCACAUGGCUGAAUAAGGACAUUGGAUGGAAUUGUGGACACCAAAGUGAAAACACAUGGCCUGAGUAAACUAAAAGCAGUUGUUUCAGUCCCUGCUUAAUUCCUGCAUACACAGAGCUAAACUACUCGUACGUUUCUGCCUUAUGAGAGUCCUCUUGAACCGUUAAGAAUGCAAUGUCCCUCUGCUAAACCAUGACAGGCGUGCAGAAGACGGAAUGCGAAGUCACGAGGCUUUGCACUGGGUCACGUGUUACAGACAAAUGGGGCAUGAGGGCGCUAUUCUGGCAGGUAAAAGCAGCGUGAACCAGCCAGUGGUCACCUCAAACACAACCCUCGGCACGAUGAAUCGGCAACGGCAACCAAACACUGCACGGAGAUGUUUUUAAUUGGCCAAACAAAUAAUGUUUACAUUCAACCUGGCGUUCUAUAACUUAACCCGGUUAAGUUAUUGAGAUUGACGGUCUCUCUAGCAAUAAAGGCCUGCGGGAUAAUUGUGUUGAUAUUCAAAAUUUCGAAUUUGUGGAUAUUGUACCGGCACUCGGUGACGUUUCCUCGUGAAUGACGUCAUAGUGUCAUGAACACGCUCUCGACGGCGGACGGCCUUUGCUUAUAGCUGCUAAUAUCUCGCGAAGACUACCACGCAACUGCACGAAGUCGAAUCAUUAAUGGGCCGAGUGCAAGCCAGCGCAGUUUGUGAGCUCGCGAACCGGUCUGCUACUCGGCGGGCUAUUUGUCAUCGUAAGAGCCAAUACAUCAUCGACCAAACCCUAAUGGUGUUACGUCUCUGCAAUCACGAUAUGCGGGUGAGCCACUGGCAUGGUUACAGCUGACCACAGCAGUAUUUCUGUUACAUUUUUUUUAUUGAUAAUUACAAAUAAAUAAAAAAAUCUCAAAAACAGCCUCAUUAAAUAUUCAGUAUGAAACUGCAGUUUUGCUUAUUUUAAAUCGACGUGGCUACUCGUGAAGAAAUAUAUAUAUUAAUAAUAUUUUUGAAUUUGUGUUACAAAAAGUCAAUUGGGUCUAUGAUUAAAUAUAAACCAUUGGUGGUGCUCACAACUGCUAGCAGCUCUGAGCCAUUGUCAGAAAUUCCACAUUUUUAUGACGGGGGUUAGUCCACCCAUAACAAAACAACUGUGGACGUCCCAUACAUUGGUGCUCGUUUUUUUUUAUCAAUUCCAGAGCGACGAUGGACUGAGUUGAUCUCCGACCAGUAUUUGUGCUCACAACCUCUCGAUUUGGAGUUCAGUGACUCAUGACAGGGACUUGGCCUCUCUCUAUGCAAAUAGUGCAGGAUUUCGUGACUCCUGGACAGUUGAUCAAUGGCACAUGCUCGCUGCUGUAUCAGUUUACCUGUGACCCUGACCUUUGGUUAAAUUCGAGGAAAAUUCCCUCUCUGAAAUGUGUAACUUACAACCAGCCGCAAGGCACUCAGUCUACUCUCCUGGCCACUGCUAUUGGUGUAUUUUUUUUGUUUGUUCUCGAAAACAGUAAAAUGCACUGAAAGGAGUUUGUUUUGCAGAAGCAUCGACACAUUUACAUUUUAAUUCGUCCGCCUGACGUUUAAGAACCCGUGUGACCACAGCCUAGUACAGUGAACGGUAUCAUUUACGCUUACAUUUUGAGCAGAACUCCUGUAUUUUGCAGCAAUGUGGGCGAUGGUCAUUGCAGAUGCUAUCAUCUUCGGGGUAAUCUGCAAAUUUACCUACAAUUUUUGUUGCAUAAUAAUCACGGGUGUUAGGAAGAAAUUAAGUAUAGGGGCGUGAGAAUGAGUUCUUGUGGACCUCACAAACAUUGUGGAUACUGUGUUCUCCAGAUGAUAGCACAUAUCUUUCUCCGCCUGGUAUUUGAAAGCAAAAGUUCGGGGUGCAUCUUAUAUUCAGAGAGGUGCGUGCGGCCAGAUUUGUAUAACUUGAUUGACACUGGGCACAGAGUUUUCGGUGGGUCUUGCUUUCCAGAGCAUCUAUAAUGCGGAGAAGAUGGUAAUAGGAGUUGUGGGUAGUACGGCUGCCGAUAAGAGGAGUUCAGCUCCAUAAGCUUUAUUUUCAAUAGUGUUUGUAUUAUUUUUGCCUAUGUUUAAAAAAAAAGUCUCACCGAGAGGUUGUGAAAUAAACUCGCUACACAACUGGAAUUGUGUCUGCUGCGAGGGAACUCUGGAGUGAAUUCGGAUUGGAGAAAUGGUAAAAAAAAAAAAAUCCAUGGAAAUGUAAUUGUAAAGGGAAGGUGCAUAAUGAUUUGACCGUUAGUGUGGUAGCUUUUUAACGGUAGUUAAAGACAAAUGUGACAUUUUGAUACCUGGAUUCUUACUCUAUUUCUGAGCUAGAGGCAAUUAAGCGGCGAUGUGAAAAUUGAUUUGAAUUCGAAAAAGCAAUUCUCCAUCGACGUAUUUUAAGUUUUCAAUUUACAUAAACAUUGCAAUGCAGUAUUUUACAAUACCCUGGAAAAGCUAAUUAUAAAGUGACUAUUAAAUCAAGUGAAUAUUAAAUGGGAUUACGUUACAUUGCGUCAGUUUCAGAGGGUAGUUUUUUAUUUUUAUCUUCGGUUAUAAGGUUUUUUCGGUUCUGCAUUUGCAAUAAAAUCGAUUGUUUUGUGUUCACGUGUGCAAAACAAACAAGGGGAGUUAGACCUUCAAGCAGGCAUUAAUUAAAAGUAUUUUUAAUUACAGUUGAACAGUUUCAGACUAAGGCAUCUCGUUAGCAUAAUGCAGCACAUAUGAAUGCACUUCAUAUGCAGUCAUUUAGUGUUCAGUGGCUUAUAUCCUUAAUACAACUUGAUUGUCUUGAAAUGCACCAGUGCUGUAUUAUUGUGUGAUGAAAUGACAACUGUGCAUUAGCAACUAAUACUGUAUUUUUUUUUGUUAUUUGUCAUCUGGCGCUCUUGUUGACAAAUGCACUGGCACCCGAGGUAGGGUUGUAUCUUCAUGUGUGAUUGUUACUGCAGACGGAGGCGUCGCGUAUCUAUAGGUGGUGUGUAGAUGCACCUACAAAUGUUUCUACAGUUGUGUUUAUAGGUGUGUUUGUAGGUGAGAUUUUACGUGAAUACAUGUAAGGAGCGGCAUUACUCUUCCCAGUUUGCCAAGUUUCGAAUCUUGUCCAUGAACAUCAUCGAUGGCAAUUGGUUUCUGAACCCUAGCUGGGGCUCUUCUCGGUUGUGAGCAACUUUAACUCAUGAACAACCAAAGCUCUGUGUGCAUAAUGCUGAUUCCACCGGCCCUUUGUGUGUUGUGCCAGCCUUCAUAGGAGCUUGAUAACGGCUCUUGCCCUAGAUAAACUUUGCCUGAGUGUGUGCGCGUGUGUGUGAACGUGCGUAUGAUUGUGUGCAUGCAAAACUGUGGGGAGCGGUGGCAUCGUGGUUGGGACACUGCGCUACAAACCCGGUACCUGGGUUCGAUUCUCAGUUACAGAUAACAUCGGUAGCGGCUGAUAUCCGAACAUGCCUUGGGCCUGCCAUAGGUCGACUCAGCCUCAAAUGAGUACCUGGUGCUGUAUGUGAACGUAAAAAAUGGGGAGACAAAGGCGGCUAAGCGUGGCACUGGUCACACCACCCUUUUGCUGCUAAGCUCGCUAACAGCACUUGCCCCAAAAGUCUUUGUAGACUAUAUAGGGGAUAUAUGGCUAAUGUAUGCAAAAAUGCCCCAAAACCCCAUGCUGUAGUGUAAAUACUUUUAAUUGAAAACGCACAAUAAGCUUACUUGGUCUUCGGUCUUGAACUAUGCUUAAACCCUUUCCUGACAUCAGCUUCACAGCCAUUUAUAACUCUGUGAUUCUCGGAAGUGGCUUUGCUUGCGUAUGAAGUUUGGUGCUGGGUUCCACAAUCAUUUGUUUACCAUUGGGUCACGCUACGGGGUGCUCUCCCCAUGCGGUUACGCAUAACAAUAAAAUAUUAAAAAUUCAAGCAAAAUCCAUUAUCUACCACAUUGAGAUGUUAUUCGUUAACAUUUGUAGGAAGUUCAAUGAAUGUACAUCAAAUUUACUUAAAUCUGCUUUUAGUAAGGCUAUGGCCAAAUCACUUGGAAUGCAUUCAAUAUUGACAGAUCCUAAAAUCUUAACAGGAUUUAGCCUGGAUAGGUCUAAGAUGGUCAAUCCGACACGCACAAACACAGGUCUUGUGCAGCUCUGUGGAGGGACGUUAUCUCUCGGCAAAUGGGCAGUACAGCAAAAUAUAUUGUCGUACAGUACUGUACUAUAUUCAAACAUGCUCCACGAAUUCACGAACCCACGUUGACCAACGUGGUGCAGUAUGGUCAAAUAAUCCCCACUACCGACACGACAUAGGCAAGGCCUCGUAUCCAGGAGGGGGUUUUGACUAAAAUUGGCAGUGCAUGUGCACGAGUAAGUGACCCCGGUGACCUGAGUUCGAUUACCACUCACGGACAACACCAGUGACGAAUAUCCGAACCGGUUCUAGGACUUCCCAGGGUUGACUCAGCCUCAAAUGAGUGUCUGGUGCGGUGUGUAAACAUUGCCACUGGGGAGACAAAGGCGGCCGGGCGUGGUGCUGGCCACACACCCCCUCGUGUGCCGUGCCGGGCUUCAUAGGUGCUCGCAGACUGCACUUGCCCCAACAGUCUGGUUAAGGCUAUAUGGGAGAUCUAUCUCUUUGUAUGUAUGUUGAACUUCUUUCGUACCGUAAGUAGCCAACUGUGCUAAUCGGAGGUGGCAGGGGAAGGACAACAAACUAAACACAAAAAGCAGGAUGAGUGUAAGCAGGGCUGGUUUGGGUCGCUCGCUCAUGGCUGCAAUGGCCAUGUUAGAGGAGCUGUGUUAGAUCCUGUUGAGAUCCUGGAUUGCGUGUAAUCUUUUUUUUUCUUCCAAAUCUUAUUUUAUUUCGAUCGCGCUAUCACCGUCGUUGCGAGACAAAAAAAAGUCGGUUCGGGAGAUGAAUGUCCACAGCCACCCUCCUCGGUAAUGAAACCAUGCUCUCAAGUCCACAAGCGAGCUCCUGUGUUGUGUAUGUAGUUCAUCUAACAUGCCAGUCACAUUAUAAAAUAUGACCGCUUCGAGUGACAUUGACGUGCACUGACUUCUAUGCAAAACAAAUGUAUUAAAUGCGUUUGACUAAAUUAAUAUUAGUCCUUAAAUAUUUGACAUGUAAACAACACAAGCACUUAAUUCGUUUGUUGGAGGUGCAUGCAAAUGUAUACUUUUGCAUGAAAUAUACAUUAUGAUUAGCCUACCUUGUAGACUUAGGCUUAAUAUUUAGUUACUGCGGCAGCGAUUGCUGGGAGGGUGAUAACCUUGGCGGGACAUGAAAACCUGGACCGUGGUGCAGAGAAUGGACUGGAGUUAGAGGGGGACACUGCUUGAGUAUUAAGAUCUGUGUGUGUGGUUUGUAGUAAUAGGUUUUUACCCUUUCAACUGGUACAAAACUGACACCUUUAUACAAGGCAUCAUGUUUGCAAUAACCACAACACAAGCAGUCAAAAUGCAAACAAAAAUAAACAACUCUGAUGAUGAUAAUGAUAUGCACUGUCCUUGAAGUUGAUUGGUCCACACCCGAGACAGCUUUUCUUAGAGCCUAGUCUCCAUUGGUGUUGGACCAGAUGACGCCAAAAUGCUCUAAGAAAAGCUGUCUCGGGUGUGGACCAAUCAACUUCAAGGACAGUGCAUAUCAUUAUCAUCAUCAGAGUUGUUUAUUUUUGUUUGCAUUUUGACUGCUUGUGUUGUGGUUAUUGCAAACAUGAUGCCUUGUAUAAAGGUGUCAGUUUUUGUACCAGUUGAAAGGGUAAAACCCUAUUACUAUAUUUUGCCACUGGUAAAGGAGAUGUCUCAUAGUGUGUGGUGUGUUUUGAAAUGUUAGGCUGUCUCUCGAGAAUUGUUCAUCAUGGUAAAUAACAGAGCACUUACUCACUUUAGCUGGACUGUUUACUGAAAUGUGCACAGCGAAAGCAUUUAAGAACCUGUGAAGCCGAGGUUAAAGGUGGCGUGCCUUAAUUCACCCACACAUAUGAACGUUAAACGUGUUGAAGCUGAUAGGUGCUUUCAAAAAGUAUUGCAGUUCUAACUUUGAACUCUAUACCAAAGCAUGCUACGUGAUAUUCUUUUUUAGUAAGGUCGGUGUAUAACUUGCUAUGUUUCUGCUGCGCCGUGUAUUCUUGUAUUUUUGUUUAAUUUUCAAUAAAUAUACUCUUGCCAAA